rnacentral:rRNA from 1 species
GACGAACGCUGGCGGCGUGCCUAAUACAUGCAAGUCGAACGCUUCUUUCCUCCCGAGUGCUUGCCCUCAAUUGGAAAGAGGAGUGGCGGACGGGUGAGUAACACGUGGGUAACCUACCCAUCAGAGGGGGAUAACACUUGGAAACAGGUGCUAAUACCGCAUAACAGUUUAUGCCGCAUGGCAUAAGAGUGAAAGGCGCUUUCGGGUGUCGCUGAUGGAUGGGCCCGCGGUGCAUUAGCUAGUUGGUGAGGUAACGGCUCACCAAGGCCACGAUGCAUAGCCGACCUGAGAGGGUGAUCGGCCACACUGGGACUGAGACACGGCCCAGACUCCUACGGGAGGCAGCAGUAGGGAAUCUUCGGCAAAGGACGAAAGUCUGACCGAGCAACGCCGCGUGAGUGAAGAAGGUUUUCGGAUCGUAAAACUCUGUUGUUAGAGAAGAACAAGGACGUUAGUAACUGAACGUCCCCUGACGGUAUCUAACCAGAAAGCCACGGCUAACUACGUG